CGGGGAGUAGCGCAGUUCGGUAGCGCGCUUGGUUUGGGUCCAAGAGGUCGUCGGUUCGAAUCCGGCCUCCCCGA
rnacentral:tRNA from 2 species